CGUAGGUGGCAAGCGUUGUCCGGAUUUACUGGGCGUAAAGCGAGCGCAGGCGGACCGUUAAGUAGGAAGUGAAAGGUCGGAGCUCAACUCCAACAUUGCUUUCUAUACUGGCGGUCUUGAGUCACGGAGGGGAAAGCGGAACGACACGUGUAGCGGUGAAAUGCGUUGAUAUGUGUCGGAACACCAAUGGCGAAGGCAGCUUUCUGGACGAUGACUGACGCUCAGGCUCGAAAGCCAAGGUAGCGAACAGGAUUAGAUACCCUGGUAGUCUUGGCCCUAAACUAUGAUCACUAGGUGUCGGGGGGUUUCCUUCGGUGCCGCAGCUAACGCAUUAAGUGAUCCGCCUGGGGACUACGGCCGCAAGGUUG
rnacentral:rRNA from 1 species